CCUACGGGUGGCAGCAGUGAGGAAUAUUGGUCAAUGGGCGAGAGCCUGAACCAGCCAAGUCGCGUGAGGGAGUACUGCCCUAUGGGUUGUAAACCUCUUUUGUCGGGGAGCAAAAGCCGGACGUGUCCGGCUGUGAGAGUACUCGAAGAGAAAGCAUCGGCUAACUAAGUACUAGCAGCCGCGGUACUACGGAGGAUGCUAGCGUUAUCCGGAUUUAUUGGGUUAAAAGGGGGCGCGGGCGGAUUUUUAAGUCAGCGGUGAAAUCGUGGGGCUCAACCCCAUCCAGCCGUUGAAACUGGGGAUCUAGAGUGUGCGAGAGGUAUGCGGAAUGCGUGGUGUAGCGGUGAAAUGCAUAGAUAUCACGCAGAACCCCGAUUGCGAAGGCAGCAUACCGGUGCACAACUGACGCUCAGGCACGAAAGCGUGGGUAUCGAACAGGAUUAGAUACCCGGGUAGUC
rnacentral:rRNA from 1 species